rnacentral:lncRNA from 1 species
UACAAUAAACAUCUUUGACUUGACUUGACUUGACUGUAUAUGUUAAAGGUACAGAGACUUAAGGUCAUACUGAAGCUUGUCACUUUAAUGACAACAAAGCAUCUCAACCAGGAUGUUGAUAGAGUCUGCUGACGCUGCGAAACUGUGUACGGAACGGGCGUGUAAACAAGUGAGCCUGAAUUCGUCGUAUUGGGCUUCACUUCGUUUCUUGGAAACAAGGAAAUGUCGCAGUAACCUAGAUUUCUAGCUGCAGAUGUAGGUAUAUAUAGCCCUAGUGCAGCAUCACCAUCACAAACACUUGACGUUUUGCAAGAACAAGAUAUCCAAAGAUGACAAAACUCCUCGCCGUUGUAGCCAUGGCCAUGCUGUUGGUGCUGCCCUACGCCCAUGGCAAUGGAGGAAGUUGCUGGGCCCCUCCGUUUGUGUUCGGCUCAACGUGUAGUUCGGACACUUCAAUUUUCGGGAGUCCGGGUCACCGGGUCCGCUACUCAGUCAGCGUCACUGGCAAUGGGGGGACACUCGUGUGCUGUGAGGCCAGAACCUGUGACACCAGAGGCUGCAGACUGAGGAGUAUUGGGUGUGGUAGCUCCACUUUUGGUUCCACUGUCCCUUGGGGGAACAAUCUCGCCACCCCGGCUGUCAAGUGCAAGGGAACGCCUUUCGGAGCCUUCAUCCGCUUUUCACACUGAGAUGGGAUGGAUUUCCGGGUUCUUCCGCUUUACCCACUUUGAUGGGACAGGCUCAUCCGCCUUUGACACCGAGACACGGUGGAAACGAUGUAUGCUGAGUGGAAAAAUCCAAGAACACUUCCUUUUAAUCCAAACAAAAAGCUGAAAUAUUUUGUAUAAUGUUAUACACCAAAGAUGUCAUAUUUUAUAUCGGUUGUGAUAAUAAAACAUGCUAACAAAA